GGCCUCUGUGCCAUCAGUGACAGCAGCUCCACCUUGUUUACCGUGUACGAAGCUACAGGUAGAUUGUGACCUCCCGGCAGAUGACCCAGCAGAUCAGGAUAAAACUGACAGCUUGUCGGAAGGAGAAAUAGCAGGAAUCGUAGUCGGAUGUGUGGUGAUAUUAGUACUUAUAGUUGUCAUUUCUAUAGUUAUUUGGAAAUUUUGUUGUAAGAAAU